CUUAAAGCCGUUCUCAGUCGGAUGUAGGCUGCAACUCGCCUACAUGAAGUCGGAAUCGCUAGUAAUCGCGGAUCAGCAUGCCGCGGUGAAUACGUUCCCGGGCCUUGUACACACCGCCCGUCACACCAUGAGAGUUUGUAACACCCAAAGCCGGUGGGGUAACCUUUUGGAGCCAGCCGUCUAAGGUGGGACAGAUGAUUGGGGUGAAGUCGUAACAAGGUACC
rnacentral:rRNA from 1 species